UUCAACAAACCUCGACGCCCUCAAUAAAUACAUACUCACACACACUGACACACAACAGAGCAUUAUAUUAUAUAUAUCGAUAUCGACGGAGAGUAAGCUGAAACUAGACCUCUAAUUUCUUAGAUCGGCCAUGGCUUCCACAAACGAACGCAACAACUUCGUCUACAUCGCCAAGCUCGCGGAACAAGCCGAACGCUACGAAGAAAUGGUGGAUUCGAUGAAGAAAAUAGCGAAGCUCGACGUGGAACUGACUGUUGAGGAGCGGAAUUUGCUGUCUGUUGGGUACAAGAACGUGAUUGGAGGUCGGAGGGCUUCGUGGCGAAUCUUGUCUUCGAUCGAGCAAAAGGAGGAAGCCAAAGGUAAUGAACAGAAUUCGAAGCGGAUCAAAGAGUAUAGGCAGAAGGUUGAGUCCGAGUUAUCGAGUAUUUGUAGCGAUAUUAUGAAUGUUAUCGAUGAACAUCUCAUUCCGGCCUCUUCGGCUGGUGAAUCAACUGUGUUUUUCUAUAAAAUGAAAGGGGAUUAUUAUCGGUAUUUGGCAGAGUUCAUGAGUGCUGAUGAGAAGAAAGAGGCUGCUGAUCAGUCACUCAAAGCAUAUCAGACGGCAACUGUGACAGCAGAGUCAGAUUUAUCUCCUACACAUCCCAUCCGACUGGGUUUGGCAUUGAACUUCUCUGUCUUCUAUUAUGAAAUUAUGAACUCUCCUGAAAGGGCAUGCCACCUUGCAAAGCAAGCGUUUGAUGAAGCUAUCUCAGAGUUGGAUAAUUUGAACGAGGACUCUUACAAAGAUAGCACAUUAAUCAUGCAGCUCCUGAGGGACAACCUCACUUUGUGGACUUCUGACAUCCCUGAGGAUGGAGGUAUUUCAUGGAUCUCCAAGAACAUAGAAUAGGAAGCCCAGAAGGCAGAUGGCACUACUAGACCAGGUGGAAGUGAAGUUGUCGAGUAAAGCAGACUUGCUUGAUCCUGUUGCAUGUAGAUGAAGAGGAAGUUGCUGCUUGCCCGGCUCUAGGGUUUUGCUUCCUAAUUUUGAUGAGAGGAAUAAUAAUUUUAUCACAUUUUUCUUACUGUGGGUCUUAUUGGUGUGAAGAUGAUUUAAUGUUUGGAACAUGUCGUUUCCAAUUGCAUCCUCGAAGCUUCUACCCUUCUGUUGUGUACUAAAUUGAGAAAAUUGUCAAGUUCACUUUAGGUGGUCCGUCUUCCUUUUUAAUGAAAUCAUGAUAUUAUGUUCUUGUUGGAGUUAAA